UACGUAGGGUGCAAGCGUUUGUCCGGAAUUAUUGGGCGUAAAGAGCUCGUAGGCGGUCUGUCGCGUCUGCUGUGAAAACUCGGGGCUUAACCCCGGGCCUGCAGUGGGUACGGGCAGACUAGAGUGCGGUAGGGGGAGACUGGAAUUCCUGGUGUAGCGGUGAAAUGCGCAGAUAUCAGGAGGAACACCGGUGGCGAAGGCGGGUCUCUGGGCAGUAACUGACGCUGAGGAGCGAAAGCGUGGGGAGCGAACAGG
rnacentral:rRNA from 1 species